rnacentral:rRNA from 1 species
AGAGUUUGAUCCUGGCUCAGGACGAACGCUGGCGGCGUGCUUAACACAUGCAAGUCGAACGGAGCACCCCUGAAGGAGUUUUCGGACAACGGAUGGGAAUGCUUAGUGGCGGACUGGUGAGUAACGCGUGAGGAACCUGCCUUCCAGAGGGGGACAACAGUUGGAAACGACUGCUAAUACCGCAUGAUGCAUUGAAGUCGCACGGCUUUGAUGUCAAAGAUUUAUCGCUGGAAGAUGGCCUCGCGUCUGAUUAGCUAGUUGGUGAGGUAACGGCCCACCAAGGCGACGAUCAGUAGCCGGACUGAGAGGUUGGCCGGCCACAUUGAGACUGAGAUACGGCCCAGACUCCUACGGGAGGCAGCAGUGGGGAAUAUUGGGCAAUGGACGCAAGUCUGACCCAGCAACGCCGCGUGAAGGAAGAAGGCUUUCGGGUUGUAAACUUCUUUUAAGGGGGAAGAGUAGAAGACGGUACCCCUUGAAUAAGCCACGGCUAACUACGUG